GUAUUUUAUUCAGUAUACAGGUACAGAUAUCAGUCAUGGGUUAGCUUGUGGUCUUUCGGGGUCAUGAGCAACAUGUAGCAUUCUGGUUCAGCAAAUUGGGGCGUACACAAAUCCUUAAAACAGUUAAGAUAAGUAUGAAAAAACAACCAAAUAUUAUAAUAAAUCCAAAUAAAUUCAAUUCAUAAUAAUAGCAAACAUGUUCUUGGCCUUAACCUCAAAAAGGGGGUGUUUAGCCACUAAUGGACAAAACCAUAAUUCAAAUACAUGAAUACAUGGUUAAAUCUAUUAAAAAGCUAGAGUUAAAGAAUAUAAAACCUAAAAAACAUUUGUAUAUUCCUCCUCACCACCCCAAGACGUCCAAAAGUAUAUAACAAUAAGUACAUGAAUCCUAUUUAUAUUGGAAGAUUUUAGCCGGUAGGGGAAUAAAGGGUGUGUCGUAUUGGUGAGCCCUUAUAGAGGGAGAAGCACAUUGCUUGGAUUAUUCCAAUAAAUAUAGCAGUGUGGAAUUUUUCUUAUCCCACCAGGGAGAGGUCCGCAUCGCGGCUAAUUCGCGUGGGCUCUCUGGAAAGUGUCUUUUUGAUGUUAAGCUUCACCUUGUGCUUUCCUCUUCCAUCUUGUGGUGUUAUUUUCAUUCAAUUACCAGAUUUUAUUUUGUUCAUAUAUCCUCAAAAUCAACUAAUCAAGCAUCCUACAUCAACAUACCCCAUGGAUUAGAGCUCAAAACAACACAAAUCAAUAACGGUGAACUAGAAACAUGAGCUAAGACUAGGCUUGCCCACAUUGAUCUUUAACUUAUUGUUUGGACUCUUUGCUUGAGCCAAUUUAACUUUGCACAUUCUAAACAAGUUUUUCACUCUUAUGUACACACUCAAAUCAGUAGGAACUCAUUUAACACAGUAGAAACCACCAUGAUAGAUUCGAGCAGCACCUAUCUCAAGUUAGUUAAACUAGCUUUCUUAUUUCAUCUCUAAAUGAUCAAUUUGGAUCCAAAUUUGUUUGAAAACACCUAUAAACAUCAUAAUUACAUGCUUAAACACUUAUAUGCUUAUUUAUAUCAUUAUUAACACAUAAAGAACACAAAUCAUCCUUACAAGGCUAAAUAAGCAAGAAUAACAAGAUUAAAGUGCAUAGAUACAUCCAACAUCACUACUCUUGGGCACAUACUUCUAAGAGAUAUAUACAACCUAUUUUAGUUAAGUCGUACCCUAAUAUAAUAUGAUGGUCCUAAUAAAAUAAAAUACAUAUAUAUUGUUGGCAUGUGACAGUAUAUAUAAGUAGGUGAUAGAGCAGCUUGCCAAGAAGGUGGAUCAGCAGCUUGUAAGCUCCUUACAAGCCGGUGUCUACCAAGUAGCUGGUUAAGAAGCUAAUAGUCAAACCAACUAAAAGGGUAGGAUAACCCAAUAGUGAGGGUUUCAUGGUAAACUCUAGAAGGUCUGGAUUUUUUUCGUUGGAUAUUUACCAACAGGGAUAAGCAUGCGGAUAGGCAGAUAUAUGUGAUGAGGUUUAGUAGCUGGGAUGGGGUAAAAGGAUCUGAGACAUCGAGGAUAUACUCUCAACCUCUCAUAGUUAUUAACCCAUGGAAUUGGAAGACUUGUGAGCAAUUCCUCUCUAGAUAGGUGCCUUGAGAUUUGUGCACCCAGAGUAGAGUUAUUGGUGGCAUCUAUGACUAGAUAUAAGGAGGUCCGGUCACCUAGCAUGGAUAUGGUUUAUCAUGGUUUGCUAAUGUGUGAAUUAGGAUACACAGAAUUGAAUAUGUAAAUGUAUCUCGGCAUUUGUCGAUAUCCAUCAGUCGGACCACCUCUAAGCAUUUCUAUAGGACGCUCUUUUACUAGCCA